GAGGGGCAGCAUCAUCAAAGCUUGCUUUGAUGGAUGGCGACCGGCGCACGGGUGAGUAACACGUAUCCAACCUGCCGACAACACUGGGAUAGCCUUUCGAAAGAAAGAUUAAUACCGGAUGGCAUAGUUUUCCCGCAUGGGAUAAUUAUCAAAGAAUUUCGGUUGUCGAUGGGGAUGCGUUCCAUUAGGCAGUUGGCGGGGUAACGGCCCACCAAACCUACGAUGGAUAGGGGUUCUGAGAGGAAGGUCCCCCACAUUGGAACUGAGACACGGUCCAAACUCCUACGGGAGGCAGCAGUGAGGAAUAUUGGUCAAUGGACGAGAGUCUGAACCAGCCAAGUAGCGUGAAGGAUGACUGCCCUAUGGGUUGUAAACUUCUUUUAUACGGGAAUAAAGUGAGCCACGUGUGGCUUUUUGUAUGUACCGUAUGAAUAAGGAUCGGCUAACUCCGUGCCAGCAGCCGCGGUAAUACGGAGGAUUCGAGCGUUAUCCGGAUUUAUUGGGUUUAAAGGGAGCGUAGGCGGGUUGUUAAGUCAGUUGUGAAAGUUUGCGGCUCAACCGUAAAAUUGCAGUUGAUACUGGCGACCUUGAGUGCAACAGAGGUAGGCGGAAUUCGUGGUGUAGCGGUGAAAUGCUUAGAUAUCACGAAGAACUCCGAUUGCGAAGGCAGCUUACUGGAUUGUAACUGACGCUGAUGCUCGAAAGUGUGGGUAUCAAACAGGAUUAGAUACCCUGGUAGUCCACACAGUAAACGAUGAAUACUCGCUGUUGGCGAUAUACAGUCAGCGGCCAAGCGAAAGCAUUAAGUAUUCCACCUGGGGAGUACGCC
rnacentral:rRNA from 1 species